UGUGUAGGCGGUUCGUCUAAGUUUGGUGUGAAAUCUCCCGGCUCAACCGGGAGGGUGCGCCGAAAACUGGAGGGCUAGAGUGCGGGAAGGGAGAGUGGGAAUUCCUGGUGUAGCGGUGAAAUGCGUAGAUAUCAGGAGGAACACCGGUGGUGUAGACGGCUCUCUGGACCGCGACUGACGCUGAGACACGAAAGCGUGGGUAGCAAACA
rnacentral:rRNA from 1 species